rnacentral:rRNA from 1 species
UACGGAGGGGGCUAGCGUUGUUCGGAAUUACUGGGCGUAAAGCGCGCGUAGGCGGACCUGCAAGUCGGGGGUGAAAGCCCGAGGCUCAACCUCGGAACUGCCUUCGAUACUGCGGGUCUCGAGUCCGGGAGAGGUGAGUGGAAUUCCUAGUGUAGAGGUGAAAUUCGUAGAUAUUAGGAAGAACACCAGUGGCGAAGGCGGCCCGCUGGGCAGUGGCUGACGCUGAAGCGCGACAGCGUGGGGAGCAAACAGG